UACGGAGGGGGCGAGCGUUAUUCGGAAUUAUUGGGCGUAAAGGGCGCGUAGGCGGCUUUCUAAGUCAAAGGUGAAAUCCCUCGGCUCAACUGAGGAACUGCCUUUGAAACUGGACGCUUGAGGCCGGGAGAGGGUAGCGGAAUUCCCAGUGUAGCGGUGAAAUGCGUAGAUACUGGGAGGAACACCGGUGGCGAAGGCGGCUACCUGGACCGGUUCUGACGCUGAGGCGCGAAAGCGUGGGUAGCAAACAGG
rnacentral:rRNA from 1 species